GGGGGUGUAGCUCAGUUGGUAGAACGCUUGAAUGGCAUUCAAGAGGUCAGGGGUUCGAUUCCCCUUACCUCCA
rnacentral:tRNA from 1 species